rnacentral:lncRNA from 14 species
GGAGACACCUGGCAUUUGUAUUCUUUAAUAUUUACAAUAGUCUAAUGAUUACCGUUGCAGACUCUUGCGAAGUGUUCACCUGCCCUGGGGGAUGGAAUGACUCAGCAGGCUAUCUGCAUUACAGUUGGAAUAUUGUUCCUGUUGGGUGAGGACUCUUUGUCAACAUCCUGUGCCUUGGCAUCUACAGUUCCUCUGGACUAACACCUUCAGCAGUUUUCUUCUCUACACAGCCAGCAGUGUGACAAGCACAUCAGUUCAUCACCAGGUUAAGCAUCACUCUGUCUACAAUAAGAAUGAUUUGGGGCCAGGAAGUGGAGAAGAGCAGAGCAGGUAUAUAUCACAUUAUCCUUGAUGCUGACAGGGCAGAGCUGACAAGGAAAUAAUCGCUCAUCUUUCCAAAAAUGAUUUCAUCCCCUGUAAUUGUUUAUAGGAGGACAGAUCUGGAAUAAAAUCCAAGUGCCACUAACA